CUGCGUUUUGGGGGUGCCUGCUUCCUCCUCUGCCCCGGUGCCCUUCACCACAUAACAUGUCUACGGAUGGGAAACCGCAGGGGAUCUGAUUUGUUUCAGAUGGGGAGAAGCCCCAACCUCGUAUUUCUCGAUGUUUCAGGUCUAAGCAGAAUGGAGCCGUCGGAGAGGCGGCACAAGGAUUUCAUCGCUUUCAAGCCGCCGGACAAAAAAUGCCACCCAAAAAGGGAUGGAGUCACGGGCCUGAUUGUGAAGCACUUCCAGAAGACCUUCCAGAGGCCCAUCUCCUUGCAGCUGUCUUCUCCCAUGGGUCUUUCUCAGUGCUGCUCAGGUAGGCAAGGCUGUUGAGGGUGUUGACAUCUGCCAACUUUUCUUAAAUGGGCUUCUGGGGUUACAUGGCACUUGCAAAAAGCCAGUGGGUUUGAAACAGAUGAUUUCUGAAGGAUCAGUCCCUAGGUGGCCAGCUGUUUGCAGGGCAGUCACUGACCUUGGGGAGUCGUAUUGGUGCAGAGAGCCUAAAAGGCCUUAUGAAGAAUGGAGAGGUGUUGAAACCUUACUCAUUUAAACACAUAGAGGUCUCAAACUGUUCUCUGGGCAUGUUCUGGCUCCUCUUCUGGUCUUUAGCAUGCAGGAUUUGAGGACAGCAAACACACAGAGGAUUGUGGUCAGGAGUCUGCUCUCUAGAGGGACAGGCUCUGUGGGAAUGUAGGAGAACUUACCUCCCGGACACAUCGGCUGCUCGAGGCCUGUGUUUGGACCAGUUUCUGGGCAGGGAUGUUAGCUGCUAGGUUUUCACAGGAUCUGUGCACUCAGUUUGGGACUGUACCGAACCCUGGAGAAAAGGCCGGGCUGCGGAAGGGUCUGAGGGACCUUCUAGUCAAAGGGCCCUUAAUGGAAGUGGAAAAUGCUCCUGAGGAGAUCGAGAUCUGGGUUUAGGGCUGAGCUGGCAACCAAGACACCCUAAUCUUGGCUCUGAAUAGAGCAUCUCCAUUGCUGGGGACCAAGGAUCAGAAAGCAGAUGUUUUUGCCACUCACAUCCUACAGUUUCCCUGCCUGCAGCUCAAAAAUCCCCCAGCUGUUACCGUAGUCCAAAGGGGCUUUAACCAGUGGUGUCUUCUGUUGUUUUCCUUCUCCCUGCAGCUGCUCUUCAUCCCUCUC
rnacentral:lncRNA from 1 species